GUAGGUGAACCUGCGGAAGGAUCAUUUUUGAUUUAAACUUAAACACUUUGUGAAUCACUGGCUUCGGCCACGGCUACGGCCUUAUUUGUCUUAAUGGUUAAACAGAAUUAUCAAAACUUUUAACAACGGAUCUCUUGGCUCUC
rnacentral:misc_RNA from 1 species